GCUGGCGGCAUGCCUCAUACAUGCAAGUCGAACGAGGUCUUCGGACCUAGUGGCGCACGGGUGAGUAACAUGUGGGAAUCUACCUGAAGGUUCGGAAUAACUGCGGGAAACUGUAGCUAAUACCGGAUGUGUCUGCAAAGAGAAAGAUUUAUCGCCUUCAGAUGAGCCCGCACUAGAUUAGCUAGUUGGUGAGGUAACUGCUCCACCAAGGCUACGAUCUAUAGCUGAUUUGAGAGGAUGAUCAGCCACACUGGGACUGAGACACGGCCCAGACUCCUACGGGAGGCAGCAGUAGGGAAUAUUGGACAAUGGGGGAAACCCUGAUCCAGCAAUGCCGCGUGAGUGAAGAAGGCCUUCGGGUUGUAAAGCUCUUUCAUCAAUGAUGAUAAUGACAUUAGUUGAAGAAGAAGCCCCGGCUAACUUCGUGCCAGCAGCCGCGGUAAUACGAAGGGGGCUAGCGUUGUUCGGAAUCACUGGGCGUAAAGCGUAUGUAGGCGGAUCAAAAAGUUAGAUGUGAAAUCCCUGGGCUCAACCCAGGAACUGCAUUUAAAACUAGUGAUCUAGAAUUUGGUAGGGGUUAGUAGAAUUUCCAGUGUAGAGGUGAAAUUCGUAGAUAUUGGAAAGAAUACCAGUGGCGAAGGCGACUAACUGGGCCAUUUUUGACGCUGAGAUACGAAAGCGUGGGUAGCAAACAGGAUUAGAUACCCUGGUAGUCCACGCAGUAAACGAUGAGUGCUAGUCGCUGGGACAAUAGUUUCAGUGUCGAAGCUAACGCAUUAAGCACUCCGCCU
rnacentral:rRNA from 1 species